GGAGCCCCUGCCUCACCGCCGCCGCGCCCGCGCAUUUCCUGGUAUUCCGGACCCCGCGUUCUGGUGGGCUGUCACCGACCCGAAAACUCCUGCAGAGCCACCUGUGGGCUCGGUGGCAGCCGCCUAGCCGGGCUCUGCCUCCUUCCCGGCGCCUCCAACAAUAAUCCACACUUCCGCUGCUGCCUGGGCGCCUACUGUGUGCAGGCCACAGCUAGAGGCGGCCAGGUUGGGGGGGUCGGUGGGGUGAGGGGACCGGUGAGCUUCGGAAGCCUUGGAGGCUUGGGUCUACGUGCUAGAUCCAAGCUCGCUGCAGAAUCUCUGGACAGAACUGUGUGAUUAGAGAGCUCCAAUGGAGGGGUCACGGUGGAGAAGCCUCCAGGGCGUCGGGGAUGAAAGAAAACCCAGGGUGGCUGGAGACCCCAGGGGACCAGGACACAGAGUCCUGAGCUACUAGAAGGGACCGUCAUCUUGCUAGAGAGCCCACAUUCAGCCACUCCAGUUCACAGACCUGCUGAGCCCUGCCCUUAAGUCAAGCCCACCCGGAAGUUGGAUAUGUUCCUGAUGCCAUGCUGGACCCUCCAGUGCAUCACCUGGCUCCUACCAGGACCCUGGGUGAGACAAGCUGACCCUGAGUUACUGAGUUACGUCACCCACAGAGGGCACAUGUCCACAGACAGCUGGAGGAGAGAUGGAGACAGGCACCUUCCCCAGAUAUGUUAUGCACACGGCAUGAGUUGAUCUAAGAAGGCAUCAGAGCUAUGUUCUCAUACAUGAAGGAAUUCUAACUCACAUAGCCUUCCUGAAAAAUCUAGUCUGAGAUCUGGCUCACUUUGACAGAACAAAACAAAGCAAAACAAAAACAAAACAGAAAUAAUGAAUCCCAGUGUGAAAGAAUACAAGAACACCAGAAAACUAGUCAGGAGUUCUCUCUAGAGAAACCAAGAACUCAGUUGCAAGGAUAGCUUUGGUAACACAGUACCAAGACAGCAAAUGUAACUGUUAAAGGUGUCAAGGGGAAAAGCUACAUGAAAAUAUUUUUUUUUUACUUUCAAGGAAGAUACAUUAGUGAGGGUAACCCUAGCUCCUGUAGCACAGAGAAUAUUACAAAUAACCCCCACAUGAUGCACAUAGAGUUCUUGCUCCAGUAACAAUUCUGGGUGGGAGGCCGUGUCCUCUCUACCUUCUGGGACCUCAGGCUGAGCCUGCAGCCUAUUGCUCAAGGUCACCUUGCCUGUGAUCUUUAUUCCAUGCAGUCAAGGGGGAGAGAGUAUGAGGGCUUGGGGAGACCCAGACUUGGAAGCAUUAGGUUUCACUCCAGCCCACCACAGCUUGGGCACCUGGUCAUGCAGAGUUGCAAGGGAGCCUGGGAAAUGUAGUUCAGCACUCCCAGCAAUCCCUGGGAGUGGAGGCACCUUUCCUGAGGAAGACUCUUGUUCCCUUCCCAAGAGACUUGGCAUCACAUUCCUUGCAUCAAAAAGUCAGGUGGCCUUGGCUAAUCUUGAUAGUCUAAUCAAGAUAGCUAAUCUGUUCCUAUCCCCAAUGCCAAUUUUCUCUCCAGAUCUGCUGCCCUAGUCUGGGGCCUGGUGGAGAGAAGAGUAUUUGUGUGUUGGAGAAAUAGCAGAAUGUAAGUGGGUAGUUCAGACCAUUGUCCUGGGGUGCAGCAGAAGCCCUCAUGGGCAGCAGGACUCCUGAUGCCUGGGUUAAGGGAGGGCAUUUGAUGCCUAAGGGUGAGGAUUUCCAGGUGUCUGCAGUCAUGCCUGCCUACCACACACAUCCAUACAAAAGAUCACAAUAGCUUUAUUUAUUGAGCACCUAUUAUGUGCUGGUCACCCUGAGAGGGGAUCACAUGUAUUAUUUCACCUUGUCUUCCCUGUGAGGUGGACACCAUGAUUAGCCCCAUCACUGGGGGAAAACCAAGGCUCAAAGUGGGCAAAGCUGAUGAGAAGUGCAACUGGGGUUGGGUGUGAAUGUGCUAGAUGUCACAGCCAGUGUUCUUGUUUUCUGUCAGCAUCAGAAGAAAGCAGGUUAGGUUGGACAGGAGCCUGGUGGCAGGAAGAGGCGUGGGCAGGCAGGAGUCCUGGGUUUGCAUCGUGGCUCUGCUCUGGCUCCAUGUGGCUGAGGGUGGGUCCCCUGUUUGUUCAGCUCACAGUCUCCUAGACUGGCUCUGUUCCAGACACUGACAAUAGAGGGGAAACCCACUCUAGUUGCUCAUGGUGCAGCAGGGAACCAGCUCCCCAAUUUGACACAGUAUGACUGUAGCUGAAAGCUCUGUCCCUGUCCCCAAUGCCAAUCAAUGCCGAUUUAAUAAUGACUACACAGUUUUGAGAAAAAGGAAAAAAAGGUUUAUGGCUUUGCUAGCAAAGGAAAAACAUAAGGGACUCCUGUCCCAAAUCAGGGGGGACAGAGGAGUUUUAAAGGAACCUUAAGGGUUACAUUCCAGGUAUGCUGUGGUAGGGGGUCCCAGGUCUCCCUAAUGGCAUGAUAGGAUUCAUUUGUUAGAGAGUGAGAAAGAGAGAGAAUUUUUUUAAUAUUUAUAUUUUAGUUUUCAGCAGACACAACAUCUUUGUAUGUGGUGCUGAGGAUCAAACCCAGGCCACACGCAUGCCAGGCGAGCAUGCUACCACUUGAGCCACAUCCCUGGCCCUGGAUUCAUUUGUGAAUUUGGGAGAUAGUCACUUCCCAGAUCUCCAGCAGGCAUCUGCUUCCUGUAGUGGGUGUGUGGGAGGGCAGUUAACUAGGGGAGGAAAAGGUAACCUUGUCUCCCUAAUCUUGUUAGGGGAGAGGGGAGAAAAGAGAAAAAAGUAUUUUUUUUAAAAAAUAAGCCUCAGAGCAAUGAGGGGUACAUUCAGAAAGUGAAAGGAUCACUGUUAGGAGACAAUGGUUGUAAAUAUUUCCUCCUCCUUGUCUCUAGUGUUUUUUCUCUAUGAAACUGAGCAGGGUUAGGAGGUCAGAGGUUGCAAACUCAAAUGUUGACAGACAGGCAUGAAAUGCAGAUGAUCGGGAACCUCAGCUCCCCCACUCACAGCUCUGUGGCUUUCAGCAAAUCCUUCUAAAUCUUGGUUUACUCAUCUGGGGAGUGGGGAUAGCACAUACUCAUGCUAGCUCAUGGGAUAAGUAAGCCAUGGAUGUCCUCAAUUCAUGAAUAACCUGUGGACAUCCCUGGUUCAUAAGAUAACACAUAGAAAACUCUCUAGCAAGACCCUAGCUCCAAAUUAAAAAAAAAAAAAAGUGCUAGGGGAUGUGGCUCAGUGGUUAAGUGCCCCUGGGUUCAAUUCCAAAACAAAACAAAAAAAACUGUACACCAGAUAGUCCUUGGACAUGUAGACUCCAUACACUUAAGGUCCCUGCUGAUUCUCAUAGGAUGUCUCAAUGAAAAGAGAACAACAGAGAGAUUGUCCUUCAACUCACAUUUCAACUCAUAACAGAUAGGAUUAGCAUCACUGGCACACAAGAGAAACCCUCCAAAGGAUAGUAGUAAAAAUAAGAUAGAAGUGUAUUUCUCUGACAUAUUAAAGAAGCCCAGAGACAGCAACACAGGGCUGGUAGGGCAACCCCAUGAAGAUGGCACCUUCCAUCUCUCUGCUGUCAUCCCUGUGUGCAGCCACUCUCCUCAUUGUCUAGAUGGCUGCCCGAGCAGUGGCCAUCUCAUUUGCUGUUCAGAGAGCAGAGUGGAAGAAGAAGAGAAGCCGCUAUGCCUCUUUGAAAGCUCCAGGUCCCUAGAUUUCUUUACAACUUCUACUUGUGAAAUCACAUGGCCCAAAUAAUUGCAAAGAGACUGGGAAAUGUCUUUCGACCGGAAAGCAAGGUACCCAGAUAAAAAGGGAGGCUCUGUUACUAAAGAAGAGAAUAGUAGAUAGAUACUGGAAGGCCACCAGCCAUUUCUGCCACAUUAAGUAACCCAGAGGGUGAGGAGGGAUGUGUGGAUAAGUGGAAGGCUGGUUAAUAGGAAACCAGGUGCUACUCUCCAUGUUACCUGUUCAUGCUUAAGUCUUUGAGCCUCCUUGUGACCCAGAGAAGAGUAAGAGAGCAAAACAGAAAAGGC